rnacentral:rRNA from 1 species
AUUGAACGCUGGCGGCAGGCCUAACACAUGCAAGUCGAGCGGAUGAAGGGAGCUUGCUCCUGGAUUCAGCGGCGGACGGGUGAGUAAUGCCUAGGAAUCUGCCUGGUAGUGGGGGAUAGCGUCCGGAAACGGGCGCUAAUACCGCAUACGUCCUGAGGGAGAAAGUGGGGGAUCUUCGGACCUCACGCUAUCAGAUGAGCCUAGGUCGGAUUAGCUAGUUGGUGGGGUAAAGGCCUACCAAGGCGACGAUCCGUAACUGGUCUGAGAGGAUGAUCAGUCACACUGGAACUGAGACACGGUCCAGACUCCUACGGGAGGCAGCAGUGGGGAAUAUUGGACGAUGGGCGAAAGCCUGAUCCAGCCAUGCCGCGUGUGUGAAGAAGGUCCUCGGAUUGUAAAGCACUUUAAGUUGGGAGGAAGGGCAGUAAGUUAAUACCUUGCUGUUUUGACGUUACCAACAGAAUAAGCACCGGCUAACUUCGUG